rnacentral:misc_RNA from 1 species
GGAAUAAUCAUUCUACAAGCAAUCGUUGCCUUUUUUCUUCUUGUCAUCUUUUUAAUGAAUAACUGUUAAUCGGAGUGAAUCACGUUAACCUUAACAAUGUGCAAAGAGCAAAAAUAUAUUUAAAAAUGUGAAAAAUAAGAUAAAUCAAUCCAAUAUGUUUUAUCUCAAUUUUAUCAAAUUGAUAACAUGACGGAGAUACUAUGAUAUUGUCGAAAUGUUGUUAACUUCUAAUGCGUAAGUAAUAAUGUUACGUGAUCAUACAUAUAAGAAGGAUAUUUCCGAUGCAGCAGCAGUCGUUCACCGAAUCUCGAUACGUAAAGUUGCCUUCGUGCACCAUCUUUGUUAUUAAUUGCAUCAGAAAAAAAAGAAUGUUUAAAAUAAAGUGCAAAAGUUGAUUUAUAUUUAGUAUUACGUAAUAUAAGUAUAUUUAGUGUUUAAUACAGCAAUUUCUUUUUUCAACAUGUUAUACAUAAUCAUUUUGACGGUAAUAGCGGGCGCUCUAGGUCUCUAUUACAUUUUUAAAGAUUUGAACUUUUUCAAGAAACAUAACAUACCGUGUAGAACGCCUUUACCAUUAUUUGGAAAUACGAUCAAAUUGUACUUUCGUCGAGAAACGAUACUUGAUUAUGUCAAUAAUAUUUACAAGUUACAUUCCGAAGCCAAAUAUGUCGGCUUGUUUGAUAAGACAAAUCCAAUUAUAGUGAUUCGCGAUCUCGAACUUAUUAAAUCUAUCGGGCUGAAAAAUUUCGACUUAUUCCCAGAUCAUAGCAGUUUCAUCGACGAAGAUCAAGAUCCGUUAUUCGGCAAAAAUCUGUUUGCUCUCAAAGGGGAGAGAUGGCGGCAAGUACGACCUUUACUAAGUCCAGCUUUUACAUCUAGCAAAAUGAAAAAUAUGUUUAUACUAAUGUCGGAGUGCGCCGUCAAAUUUAGCAAUUACUUGGUGCAAAUGCCAGCAGAGAAGAAAAUAAUGGAUAUAAAAGAGGCAUUUACGAGAUACACAAAUGACAUAAUAGCUACUUGCGCUUUUGGCAUUAGUGUCGAUUCUAUGAGAAAUCCGAACAACGAAUUUUACAUUUACGGCAGGGAGGCGACUGCUUUCGACAGAGUCGCCGUACUAAAAUUAUACUUAUAUAGAAGCUUGCCUUGGGUGGCAAAAAUUCUUAAAAUAAGAAUCAUUCGCCAAAAAAUAGCGGAUUUCUUUCGAGAUCUCGUAGAGACCACCAUAAAAACUAGGGAUGAAAAUGGUAUCGUUCGUCCAGACAUGCUACAAUUGAUGAUGGAGACUAGAGGGAAGGAAGGUAAAGCAGAACUGUCUAUCGAAGACAUGGUAUCUCAUGCAUUCGGUUUCUUUUUUGGUGGUUUCGAGAGCACAUCGACGUUAAUGUGCUUUGCCGCUCACGAAAUUGCGGUGAAUCAAGACGUACAAAAAAAACUUCAAGAUGAGAUUGAUCAAGUUUUGGAGGAUUCAAAUGGUAAAGCACCAUACGAAAUAGUUAAUAACAUGGAAUAUAUGGAUGCCGUAAUUAAUGAAGCUCUCAGAAGAUAUCCGGUUGCGGCAGCAUUAGACAGAGUAUGCGUGAAAGAUUUCGAAUUACCGCCGACAUUACCAGGGAUAAAGCCUUUUACUACAAGAAAAGGACAAGUCAUAUGGAUACCGGUUUAUGGACUUCAUCAUGAUCCUCAGUAUUUUGAAAACCCGGAAAAGUUCGAUCCCGAACGAUUUAUUGGUGAGCGAAAAAAAGAGAGUCUCAAUUGCGGAGCCUAUCUUCCGUUCGGAUUGGGUCCCAGAAUGUGCAUAGGUAAUAGAUUCGCUAUAAUGGAAACGAAAGUUUUGCUGUUUCAUCUAUUGGCACGUUGCGAUUUGAAAACUUGCGAGAAAACACGGUUACCGCUCAAGAUCGCUAAGGGCGGCAUCAAUAUGAUACCCGAAGGUGGCUUCUGGUUGAAUAUAUCACCAAGAAAAAAUAUUCAUCACAGUAUUGCUACCAAUGCUGUCAAUGGGACACGUCAGCUAUGAAAUGGAAAGAAUACCGAAAUCGUAAUGAAACAUAAAGGAUAUGCCGACCUUAUUUAUAAAAAAAGAAGACUCAUGUUGCUGCUAAUUUAUAAAAUAAUAUUAUAUACUUGCAUUAGAAAUAUUUUUGAUAUGCUAAAAGCAGAAUUAUUUCUAUUUCUUAUUGCUGAAAAGGGAAGAGCAAACAUAAAAGAUAUUGGCGUGAUUAUCACCGUCAUAUUAAUUAUCUACAUAUUUUCAAAAUAUUCUGUUAUAUUAUAAGCCAAUUUUUUUCGCAA